GACGAACGCUGGCGGCGUGCUUAACACAUGCAAGUCGAACGGAAAGGCCCUGCUUGCUGGGUACUCGAGUGGCGAACGGGUGAGUAACACGUGGGUGAUCUGCCCUGCACUUCGGGAUAAGCUUGGGAAACUGGGUCUAAUACCGGAUAGGAACCAUCUUUAGUGUGGUGGUUGGAAAGUUUUUUCGGUGUAGGAUGAGCUCGCGGCCUAUCAGCUUGUUGGUGGGGUAAUGGCCUACCAAGGCGGCGACGGGUAGCCGGCCUGAGAGGGUGUACGGCCACAUUGAGACUGAGAUACGGCCCCGACUCCUACGGGAGGCAGCAGUGGGGAAUAUUGCACGAUGGGCGCAAGCCUGAUGCAGCGACGCCGCGUGGGGGAUGAAGGCCUUCGGGUUGUAAACUCCUUUCGCUCGGGACGAAGCUUUGUUGUGACGGUACCUAGAUAAGAAGCACCGGCUAACCACGUG
rnacentral:rRNA from 1 species